GAUGAACGCUAGCGGGAGGCUUAACACAUGCAAGUCGAGGGGCAUCACGAGGUAGCAAUACUUUGGUGGCGACCGGCGCACGGGUGAGUAACACGUAUGCAACCUUCCCUGUACAGGGGGAUAACCCGGAGAAAUUCGGACUAAUACCCCAUGAUGAUAUUUAUGGGCAUCCAUUGAUAUUUAAAGCUCUGGCGGUACAGGAUGGGCAUGCGCGACAUUAGCUAGUUGGUAAGGUAACGGCUUACCAAGGCCACGAUGUUUAGGGGACCUGAGAGGGUUGUCCCCCACACUGGUACUGAGACACGGACCAGACUCCUACGGGAGGCAGCAGUGAGGAAUAUUGGUCAAUGGGCGCAAGCCUGAACCAGCCAUCCCGCGUGAAGGAAGAAUGCGCUACGCGUUGUAAACUUCUUUUCCAGGGGGAGAAUAAUCCUGUCGUGACAGGACUUGACGGUACUCUGGGAAUAAGCAUCGGCUAACUCCGUGCCAGCAGCCGCGGUAAACACG
rnacentral:rRNA from 1 species